UUGCCAUGGACAUUGAUUUAUGCAGGUUAAGUAUUUUGAGAUGGGGAGAAGCAGAAUGGCUUGCUGAUGACAUGCCUUAAUCUUGCCAUGGACAUUGACAGGCCUGAAUCUGAUGGACAAGACACUUGCAGUUUGGAGCGCUAGGCUUGCCUGCACCAUCUAUAUUGUGGAGACAGCCAGUCCGUCGAAAAUAUCCUGACCGCAUGCACGGAUGUUGUGCGUUCUUGUUCAUGUCCAAUCUCAUCGGUUUGUGCACACUCAACAAGUUAGUAUCCAGAACAACUUCACCGCAUUCUAGGCCAUGACUGAGCAAGAAGCACGCCAAAUAUUAGGUAUCAGUGAAGACGAGAUGGGACGAGAUCAUGAAGCAUCUUGCUGGCUGUGAUCCUGUCAUCAACUGAACUUUUGGAAGCUUAUUGAAUAGUAAGUUUUAUCGAUGUUUAAUCAAAUUUAUCCUUGCCCAUUUUCCCUGAUUUGUUUAUAAUGAUUUACACCUUCCCUUCUCGUGAAUGGUUAUUUUUUCCGAAUGAUUUCAGACAUCUGAUGAGAACUAAAUUCUCAUAUUUCUGGUUAUAUGGCCCAUUUGUCUCUCAAGGGUAGUAUGAUCUUUAUUCUUUGCCAAUUCAGAAAUUUCAUGUGUAAGGUCUUAAAUGGAUAGCUAGGACUGGAAAGAUAAAACGUUUUUGCAUCCUGUUACAGCGUCUACCUAUUCCUGGAAUUUUUGUGAUCCAUAAAUGAUCUUAUUAGAUGGGCAAAAGAACUCGUGGUGGAAUGGAAAGCACCAGUUUGGACCCCAUUUCUUGCCCAUAUUUCAUGAUCUGACUUGCAUAUUCCAUUAUAUGUAAGUCUUAAGACAAUGUAUGCAUCAAUCAUUCUGAUUUCAGGUUUGCUUGGUCGAUGUGUUCUCUGAACAAUUUUGAAGCAUUGUACAUACUAAUUUGGUAGAAUUACCUUUCAACCAUGUUCAAUUGCCUAAUGAAGAUGAUGCUGCUUCAUUAUAUAGGAGAACUUGCAGCACCUCAACUCUCUCCGCACUUGACCAACUGUUUCUUUUAUGUAAGGGAUCCCUCUGCACUUGACCAGAAUGCUAUGAGUAAUAUAUGCACAGGCAGUGUAACUUUUAGAGAAGUCCAUUUGAGAUUGAAGGCAAGGACAAUUAGGAGGAGCACGCCGAGGGUGACGACAAGGGAGAAGAUCCAGCAGCAGCUGUGGCAGUUACUUGUAUGUCAUGGUGAGAUCCCAUUUUCACAAUCUCCCCAUUUAGGUUGCUUGUGAGAAUCUAAUGUAACUAUGGUUGCUUGUUUCUUGUGAGAAAUGCAAAAACUUGUUGCUUGUGAGAUAUGUAAUUUUCAACUUGCAACUGAUAUGCACUUUUCU